CCUACGGGAGGCAGCAGUAGGGAAUAUUGCUCAAUGGGGGAAACCCUGCAGCAGCAACGCCGCGUGGAGGAUGAAGGUUUUCGGAUUGUAAACUCCUUUUGUUAGAGAAGAUAAUGACGUUAUCUAACGAAUAAGCACCGGCUGAUUACGUGCCACCAGCCGCGGUAAUACGGAGGGUGCAAGCGUCACUCGGAAUAACUGGGCGGAAAGAGCGCGUAGCCGGGAUAGCAAGUCAGAUGUGAAAUCAUAUGGCUGAACCAUAGAAUUGCAUUUGAAACUGUUAUUCUAGAGUAUAGGAGAGGUAGGUGGAAUUCUUGGUGUAGGGGUAAAAUCCGUAGAGAUCAAGAAGAAUACUCAUGGCGAAGGCGACCUGCGAGAACAUAACUGACGCUGAUGCGCGAAAGCGUGGGGAGCGAACAGGAGUAGAUACCCGUGUAGUC
rnacentral:rRNA from 1 species